rnacentral:tRNA from 1 species
GGGCCAGUAGCUCAGUCGGUGAGAGCACAGCGCUUAUAACGCUGGGGUCGGUGGUUCGAGUCCACCCUGGCCUA